ACUCAGGACCUUGCGCUUUUGAGGCAGCCGGCAGCACCGCUGAGCUAAAUCCCCGGCCUUAGGCUUCUUUAAGUUGUGCGUGUUGGGUAUUGUGUCCAGCAUGGGAACAUGACUAAUGGAGUGACCACUGUCUAUCUGCAGAGCCUCUUUGUCUCCCUGAACUGCAGCUCUGCACAUUCCCCCAGCCCCCAGCAACAUCCAUGCAACCCUCUAUUUCUGUGGAUUUGAUGACUCCAGGUACCUCCCAUAAGUACUGUGCAGUAUUUGUCCUUUGGUGUUUGUCUUAUUUUGCCUAGGAGUGUUUUCAAACUUCACCCAUAUUGUAGUGUGUGCUAGAAUUUCCUUUUAUAGGCUUGGAUAAUCUUCCACUGUGUGCCUGGACCACAUUUUGCUUUUCUGCUCAUCUGUUGAUGGACACAGGCUGCUUGCUCCAUCAUAGGGUUGGCCUUGACUACUUGCACUUCACUUUGCUAGAAUCUAAAGUCUGAAUUUCCAGGGAAUUCAAUCCUGCGAGAGAUUGGGGAGGCCAUAUGAAUCACACAGCAGGAGUCACCACGUGCAUAAAAGCACUGCAUUGUACUAGGUCACUAAUGGAUGUUUAUGGCAAGAAAUUUGGAAAAUGUAGGAAAAAGGUCAAAAAGAAGUAGAAAUUGCCUGUAAUUCAUGCACCCAGAGAAAACAGGUGACCUACCUGUACACUGGGAAGAAAAGGAGCAAGAUGGCACCAACAGCUCUCCCGAGAUUAAGUUGGCUGUGCUGUUUCCUUUGCAGAGAAGCAGCUUGGAAAAACCCCCUAGGGAGCCAGGGACCUCAGACCCAGCUGCUUCCACUCAGCGGGGCCACAGAAGCUGCUGAGGCCCAGGCUGGGUGUGCACUGAGCAAAGCAAAUGGAUGAUUCCCAGCAGGGAUGUUGAGACAGUUCAUCCACCCUUGACAUCUUCCUACGGCAGCUUGCUGGCUUCUGCCUGUGUCACCUCCCCACAGUCUAAGGAGGGUUGGUCACUUGUUAUGGGGCACUCAGCAGAAGAAUACAGGUAUGGACAGAUGGUGUUCAUUUUUCAAACAACUUUGUGGACUAUAAUUCACCAUAAAAUUGACCCUUUAAAGAUGUAUAGUGAGGAAGCAGGGCGUGGCGGUGCACACCUGUUACUC
rnacentral:lncRNA from 1 species